GGAGUUGUGGUUCAGUACUAGAAUUCUUGCCUGACAUGCAUGAAGCCCUGGGUUCAAACUCCAGCAACACAC
rnacentral:tRNA from 1 species